CAAAAUCCGGAACCCAGUAGCACUGUGCAUUAUUCUCCAGUAGCUUCUCCACCAUAUGCUCUACUCUUACAAACCAGCUUGGCACAGCUUUGUAUAUCAACGGAGUAUCUGACCUCCAGCAGAACGGAUAGCUAUGUUUGUAACUACUGCUGUGAACCAGUCUGCCCUUCUCCUUCAGUAAUUUAAUGAUGUUCUUAUCUGCAUCCUUCACAUACUGCCCAGCAAAGUCGGUCACUUCAGCUGUGAAGCAGCCUGAUACAUCAACAGGACAAACUGGGACAGAAUCUUUCUGAAUAAUAUUAAAAUCCAUACAGACUCUGUAAUCGUCAGCACCAAAAUAGGGGGCUUGAUGAACAACACCUGUGCCUUCUUCCUCCUUCACAUAACUGUCUACUAGCACAGUAAAGGCACCUUGAUCUUUGCACUGAAUAAAAUACUCAAAGAGUGGUUUAUACUUCUUGCCUUUCAGAACAAUGCCAGGAAACCUGUCCAGUAUCUCAUAUUCACUGUCAGAUUUGUAUAGUGCUAUCAGCCUGGACUCCAUCAAGAUGUAAA
rnacentral:lncRNA from 1 species